CCAAGGUUUAUCUGAAGUAUGCAUUCGUACUGUUUUUUCAGGAAUAGUUUCAUCCAUAAUACUAAGCAUCGUCGAGGUGUUAAGAGUCUUACCCUUCUGGGAAUUGUUGGUGUUUUUUCUUUCUGUUUUGGCACUAAUAGAAGGCAAUUGUGAUCAGAACGUCCCAAUGGUGGUAGAUGCUGUGUUGGUUUAUACAUAUCUCGCAUAUUUGUCAAGACUUGGUCCAAAACGUUUUUUCCUCUGGUUGGGUAUAGGAUAGAUUUUUUUAAAUUGAAACAAUUACAUAGAUUAGUCAAGUUUAAUUUAUUGAAGUCUCCAGCAACUAUAAUUGCAGAGGAUGGACGUUCACAUAGUAACUGAUCUAAAUUUUUGAUGAGAUAUUCAAUCAUAUCAUGUUCUUUUUCGGCACUUUGUCCAGGUGGAUAAUAAAUAAUGACAAUAAUAAUUGCACCAAAUGGGCGAGGCGUUCUUGUUGGUUUAAGUACUAACCAUAGCACCUCUUUAUCAUUGUCUUCAUCAAAUAACUUACGACUAACAGGUAUACUUUGAU